rnacentral:tRNA from 1 species
GCCGGGAUGGCGGAAUAGGUAGACGCACGGGUCUCAAAAACCCGCGAUGGUAACAUCUUGCCGGUUCGAUUCCGGCUCCCGGCACCA